GGUGAACGCUGGCGGCGUGCCUAAUACAUGCAAGUCGAGCGAACGCACGAGAAGCUCGCUCCCUUGCUGUUAGCGGCUGACGGGUGAGUAACACGUGGAUCGCCUACUACUUUGUCUGGGAUAAUUUCGGAAAACCGCAGCUAAUACUACAUGAUACUUUCUACCGGAUGAUUCAAAAGUGAAUCACGGUUUUCCUGAUUCUUAUAGCCGGAUCCGGGUUGGAUUAGCUAGUUGGUAAGGUAACGGCUUACCAAGGCAACGAUGCGUAGCCGACCUGAGAGGGUGAUCAGCCACACUGGAACUGAGACACGGUCCAGACUCCUACGGGAGGCAGCAGUGGGGAAUCUUCCGCAAUGGGCGAAAGCCUGACGCAGCAACGCCGCGUGAGUGAUGAAGGUCUUCGGAUCGUAAAACUCUGUUAUUGGGGAAGAACAUAUGUGGGAGAAACUGUGGACGUCUUGACGGUACCUAAUCAGAAAGCCACGGCUAACUACGUG
rnacentral:rRNA from 1 species